rnacentral:misc_RNA from 1 species
GAUGAAGAACGCAGCGAAAUGCGAUAAGUAGUGUGAAUUGCAGAAUUCCGUGAAUCAUCGAAUCUUUGAACGCACAUUGCGCCCCCUGGCAUUCCUAGGGACAUGCCUGUUCGAGCGUCAUUAACAACCAUCAAGCGGGACCUGUCUGCCUCGCUUGGCCAUGGGGGAUGGCCGCCCUCGGGGCGCCCACCCCCGAAAUACAACGGCGGACAGCCACCACGGGGCACCCGGGCGUAGUAAGUUGCUCUCUCGCCCGCGCCCACGGAAUGGACUGUCCGGCCGGUCGAACCCCCAACAUCCAAUGGUUGACCUCGGAUCAGGUAGGGAUACCCGCUGAACUUAAGCAUAUCAAUAAGCGGAGGA